rnacentral:rRNA from 1 species
UGAACGCUGGCGGUAUGCUUAACACAUGCAAGUCGAACGGUAACGGGUCCUUCGGGACGCCGACGAGUGGCGGACGGGUGAGUAAUGCGUAGGAAUCUGCCCAAUCGUGGGGGACAACCUGGGGAAACCCAGGCUAAUACCGCAUACGCUCCACGGAGGAAAGCGGGCCUCUGAAUAUGCUCGCGCGAUUGGAUGAGCCUACGUCGGAUUAGCUAGUUGGUGGGGUAAAGGCUCACCAAGGCGACGAUCCGUAGCUGGUCUGAGAGGAUGAUCAGCCACACUGGGACUGAGACACGGCCCAGACUCCUACGGGAGGCAGCAGUGGGGAAUAUUGGACAAUGGGGGCAACCCUGAUCCAGCAAUACCGCGUGGGUGAAGAAGGCCUGCGGGUUGUAAAGCCCUUUCAGUGGGGAGGAAAGCCUAGGCGUUAAUAGCGCCUGGGGGUGACGUUACCUACAGAAGAAGCACCGGCCAACUCC